rnacentral:rRNA from 1 species
CCUACGGGUGGCAGCAGUGAGGAAUAUUGGUCAAUGGACGGAAGUCUGAACCAGCCAUGCCGCGUGCAGGAAGACGGCUCUAUGAGUUGUAAACUGCUUUCGUACAAGGGUAAACCUGAAUACGUGUAUUCAGCUGAAAGUACUGUACGAAUAAGGAUCGGCUAACUCCGUGCCAGCAGCCGCGGUAAUACGGAGGAUCCAAGCGUUAGCCGGAUUUAUUGGGUUUAAAGGGUGCGUAGGCGGAUUGAUAAGUUAGAGGUGAAAUGUCCGAGCUGAACUCGGGAACUGCCUCUCAUACUGUUGAUCUAGUGCGUCGCUGCGGUAGGCGGAAUGUAUGGUGUAGCGGUUACAUGCUUAGAGAUCAUACAGAACCCCGAUUGCGCAGGCAGCUUACCAAUCUAUAUCUGACGUUGAGGCACGAAAGCGUGGGGAGCAAAC